CAGCACUGGACACAGCUGUUCGGAGAGGAUUCCCAUCAUGAAAGCAGACGGGUCUGAGAAGUUGGCUGAACUCUGUUAUGUGAGCGCUCUUGAAGAUCUGGGGUUUGUGAAAGCUCAAGACGUCCUCGUCUCUGAAUCGUCACAGGGUCCCAAUGAGGCAGAGACGGUCAUGCGACCUCGAGAGACCCUGGAGUACAAGGCAGCGCUGGA